AUACGGAGGAUGCGAGCGUUAUCCGGAUUUAUUGGGUUUAAAGGGAGCGUAGGUGGGAUAUUAAGUCAUCUGUGAAAGUUUGGGGCUCAACCUUAAAAUUGCAGUUGAUACUGGUUUCCUUGAGUACGGUACAGGUGGGCGGAAUUCGUGGUGUAGCGGUGAAAUGCUUAGAUAUCACGAAGAACUCCGAUCGCGAAGGCAGCUCACCGGGCCGGAACUGACACUGAUGCUCGAAAGUGCGGGUAUCAAACAGGAUUAGAUACCCUGGUAGUCCGCACAGUAAACGAUGAAUACUCGCUGUUUGCGAUACACUGUAAGCGGCCAAGCGAAAGCGUUAAGUAUUCCACCUGGGGAGUACGCCGGCAACGGUGAAACUCAAAUGAAUUGACGGGG
rnacentral:rRNA from 1 species